rnacentral:rRNA from 1 species
UACGAGAGGCCCAAACGUUAUUCGGAAUUACUGGGCUUAAAGAGUCCGUAGGCGGCGCAGAAAGUGGGGUGUGAAAGCCCUCGGCUCAACCGAGGAAUUGCGCUCCAAACUCCUGUGCUUGAGGAAUCUAGAGGUGAGCGGAACUGAUGGUGGAGCGGUGAAAUGCGUUGAUAUCAUCAGGAACACCGGAGGCGAAGGCGGCUCACUGGGGAUUUUCUGACGCUGAGGGACGAAAGCCAGGGGAGCGAACGGGAUUAGAAACCCCCGUAGUCC